rnacentral:sRNA from 1 species
CAUAUAUAAAAGUUUUACAAAUUGUAUCAUUCUCUAAUACAUUUAUAUUUUAUAGUUUAAUUUUAUAUAUAGUAACAUUAUACAUACCACAUAACAUUUUUGGUUUUAUAUAAUCUUUUCUAAAUUAGGAUGAUUUGAUAUGUUUAAUAUUAGUGGUCUUAAAAAAUAAUAAAUUAAAGAUUUAACCCGUAUUGAAACAGUGGAUUAAUUAUAUUUUACUUUUUUAUUAAUGUUGAUUCAAAAACCCGUCUUGUAUUAAAAAUUGAAUCACAUCUAAUAUGUUAUUAAUUAUUGUAGUAUAUAUAAAUUAUAAAUUUUCAAUAUAAUAUGUAUGAAAUUGAAUAUAAAUAUUUCAAAUUAUGACCCGUUACUCAGAAGAAAGUUUUCUUAAAUCUAUUUUUCACCGUUAUAAUAUUUUUUCAUGUAUUGAACAGUUUAUAUUUGUUUUUAAAAAUUCAAAUUAUGGCAUAUGCGAAAAAACUCUAAUUAUUCUUUUAUAAUGAUGAUAUUAUUUUUCCGCAAAAAUAGAAUCAUAUAAAGAUGAGAAGUGAACUAUAAUAAUUAAUAAAAAA